UAAUGACCCGAUCUGUAUUCCUGAGUAA
rnacentral:piRNA from 1 species